rnacentral:rRNA from 1 species
GAUGAACGCUGGCGGCGUGCCUAAUACAUGCAAGUCGAGCGAACAGACGAGAGUGCUUGCACUCUCUCACGUUAGCGGCGGGCGGGUGAGUAACACGUGGGUCACCUCCCUAUAAGACUGGGAUCACCUCGGGAAACCGGAGCUAAUCCCGGAUAAUAUUUAGCUUCGCAUGAAGCUAUAGUGAAAGACGGUUCUGCUGUCACUUAUAGAUGGACCCGCGGUAUAUUAGCUAGUUGGUGAGGUAACGGUUUACCAAGGAAAAGAUACAUAGCCGACGCGAGAGGGUGAUCGGCCACACUGGAACUGAGACACGGCCCAGACUCCUACGGGAGGCAGCAGUAGGGAAUCUUCCGCAAUGGCCGAAAGCCUGACGGAGCAAUGCCGCGUGAGUGAAGAAGGUCUUCGGAUCGUAAAACUCUGUUGUAAGGGAAGAACAAGUACGUUAGUAACUGAACGUACCUUGACGGUACCUAACCAGAAAGCCACGGCUAACUACGUG